rnacentral:tRNA from 1 species
GUCUGGGUAGGUCAGUUGGUUAAGCAUCUGACUUCAAAUCAGGUCAUGGUCUCAUGGUUCGUGGGUUCAAGCCCCGCACCAGGCU